AUUGAACGCUGGCGGCAGGCCUAACACAUGCAAGUCGAGCGAGCGGCGGACGGGUGAGUAAUGUCUGGGAAACUGCCUGAUGGAGGGGGAUAACUACUGGAAACGGUAGCUAAUACCGCAUACCAUCAGAUGUGCCCAGAUGGGAUUAGCUAGUAGGUGGGGUAACGGCUCACCUAGGCGACGAUCCCGAGCUGGUCUGAGAGGAUGACCAGCAGCCCUGGAACUGUGACACGGUCCAGACUCCAAGGGGAGGCAGCAGUGGGAAAUAUGGCACAAGGGGCGCAAGCCUGAUGCAGCCGUGCCGGGUGUAUGAAGAAGGCCUUCGGGUUGUAAAGUACUUUCAGCGUGGAGGCGUUACCCGCAGAAGAAGCACCGGCUAACUCCGUGCCAGCAGCCGCGGUAAAC
rnacentral:rRNA from 1 species